AUUGAACGCUGGCGGCAGGCCUAACACAUGCAAGUCGAACGAGUGGUGGACGUGUGAGUAAUGUCUGUGAAACUGCCCGAUGGAGGGGGAUAACUACUGGAAACGGAAGCUAAUACCGCAUACCAUCGGAUGGGCCCAGAUGGGAUUGGGGAGUUGUUGAGGUAAAGGCUCACCAAGGCGACGAUCUCUAGCUGGUCUGAGAGGAGGACCAGCAACACUGGGACGGAGACACGGCCCAGACGCCGACGGGAGGAAGCAGUGGGGAAUAUUGCGCAAGGGGGGAAACCCUGCCGCAGCCAUGCCGCGUGAAGGAAGAAGGCCUUCGGGUUGUAAAGUUCUUUCGGUAGGGAGGCGUUAACUACAGAAGAAGCACCGGCUAACUCCGUGCCAGCAGCCGCGGUAAUUC
rnacentral:rRNA from 1 species